GCCUCGGUGGUGAAAUUGGUAGACGCAGCGGACUCAAAAUCCGCCGCCGCAAGGCGUGCCGGUUCGAUUCCGGCCCGGGGCACCA
rnacentral:tRNA from 4 species